rnacentral:rRNA from 1 species
UGGGGAAUUUUGGACAAUGGGCGAAAGCCUGAUCCAGCAAUGCCGCGUGUGCGAUGACGGCCUUCGGGUUGUAAAGCACUUUCAAUUGUGAAGAAAUGUGCACGGUUAAUACCCGUGUAAGCUGACGUUAACAAUAGAAGAAGCACCGGCUAACUCUGUGCCAGCAGCCGCGGUAAUACAGAGGGUGCGAGCGUUAAUCGGAAUUACUGGGCGUAAAGAGCGCGUAGGUGGUCUACUAAGUCAUGUGUGAAAGCCCUGAGCUUAACUUAGGAAUUGCAUGUGAUACUGGUAGUCUAGAGUAUGGUAGAGGGAAGUGGAAUUUCCGGUGUAGCGGUGAAAUGCAUAGAUAUCGGAAGGAACACCAGUGGCGAAGGCGACUUCCUGGGCCAAUACUGACACUGAGGCGCGAAAGCGUGGGUAGCAAACAGG